UGUAACCGAUUUUAAAGUGGGUUUUGGAAACACGUGUCAGCAAAGCAUCGAUUGUAUUUUUUUUUCUCUUUUCUCUCUUUUUUUCUUUUCUCUCGUCUCGGUCUCGUCUUCUCGUUUAGUCUCGUCUUCUCCGUCUUCUUGUCGAUGAAGCAAUCAACUAUGACAACUCCAUCGUUUCUCUCUACCCUACCACCAUGGAGAAGCUCCAGCUCUAGCUCGAUUUUUUCAAAAGAACUCAAGAGACGAAGAAACAAACGAAGACGAUGAGCUCCUUCAAGCUUGAAUCAGCCUAAUCUCCAUCACACUCCUCUCUAUAAUGGAGCAAUCCGAUCAAGAUUCGGGUUCUAACUGUAACAAUUCGGCGCGCCAAUCAGAUUUCUCCGUCCCGGCGGUGGUUGUGGAGGCGAAGAUGGAAUCUUCUAGUGGAAGGGAGAUGAAACAGUCGCAUUACGUUCUCGGUUCGCAAGAUCGGAGGGAAGAAGACUUGCCUUCUCAGCCUCAGACGCCGCCGUCAGGUUCCGAGAAGCAGCCAUCAACGACGCAAGACGCCGCGCCGCCACAAACACUUCCGGUUCAUCGGUUUGUCAAGAAUCUUUGAUUAGUUUCAUCGGUUUAAGGGAUGUCAAUUCUUAGUGGUCAAUGUGGUGUGGUGAUGAGAUGUCAAUGCCUAGUGACUUUGGUUGAUGUAAUCUUGUAUAGUUAUUGUGAAUGUUUUGCGUCGGGAUCGUAUUGCAAUGGCGAGCUUGGAGCGUAAUCCGGAUGCUUUCAAGCCCAAAAUUGCUGGUAGUCCUCGUGGAUUGAAUCCUUUGCAGAUCAGGAUGAAUCUGCAGACGAGAUCAAGGAAGCAGCAACAGGUCCGAAGAGCAGAAAUGAAGAAUCUUGGUGUGAAAUGGUUCUGCUAGUGUUAGGGAUUGAAACCAUUUUCUUCGUCAAUAAUCAUAUUGUCUCUAAUCAAAGAGAUACAGUCUCUCUCUCUUUCUUCCAUGUUGAAGUACAUUAUUACUCUUAUAUCUCCUUUUGUGUUACCCUUUCGAAGCGAUGUGUGUCUUCCCAUAGUGUCUCUAACUCAGCAAGUGCCAUCCUUGUAUGACUCUUCCCCUACCUACAAGAUGUACAAGUCACAAGAUGUUUCACAAGCGAAGUUGUUAUGUUUGUUACUUUGUAUGUGCUGUCCUUAUGUGUGCAAGUCAAGAGAAGUCACGAGUUGUUAUGUAUGUUUGUAUGUGCUGUCCGUAUGUGUGCAAGUCACAAGAUUUUUAUUCAA